rnacentral:rRNA from 2 species
GCAGCCUGAUGCAGCGACGCCGCGUGAGGGAUGACGGCCUUCGGGUUGUAAACCUCUUUCAGUAGGGAAGAAGCGAAAGUGACGGUACCUGCAGAAGAAGCGCCGGCUAACUACGUGCCAGCAGCCGCGGUAAUACGUAGGGCGCAAGCGUUAUCCGGAAUUAUUGGGCGUAAAGAGCUCGUAGGCGGUUUGUCGCGUCUGCCGUGAAAGUCCGGGGCUCAACUCCGGAUCUGCGGUGGGUACGGGCAGACUAGAGUGAUGUAGGGGAGACUGGAAUUCCUGGUGUAGCGGUGAAAUGCGCAGAUAUCAGGAGGAACACCGAUGGCGAAGGCAGGUCUCUGGGCAUUAACUGACGCUGAGGAGCGAAAGCAUGGGGAGCGAACAGGAUUAGAUACCCUGGUAGUCCAUGCCGUAAACGUUGGGCACUAGGUGUGGGGGACAUUCCACGUUUUCCGCGCCGUAGCUAACGCAUUAAGUGCCCCGCCUGGGGAGUACGGCCGCAAGGCUAAAACUCAAAGGAAUUGACGGGGGCCCGCACAAGCGGCGGAGCAUGCGGAUUAAUUCGAUGCAACGCGAAGAACCUUACCAAGGCUUGACAUGGGCCGGACCGGGCUGGAAACAGUCCUUCCCCUUUGGGG